rnacentral:rRNA from 1 species
GAUGAACGCUGGCGGCGUGCCUAAUACAUGCAAGUCGAGCGAACAGACGAGGAGCUUGCUCCUCUGACGUUAGCGGCGGACGGGUGAGUAACACGUGGAUAACCUACCUAUAAGACUGGGAUAACUUCGGGAAACCGGAGCUAAUACCGGAUAAUAUAUUGAACCGCAUGGUUCAAUAGUGAAAGACGGUUUUGCUGGCACUUAUAGAUGGAUCCGCGCCGCAUUAGCUAGUUGGUAAGGUAACGGCUUACCAAGGCAACGAUGCGUAGCCGACCUGAGAGGGUGAUCGGCCACACUGGAACUUAGCCACGGUCCAGACUCCUACGGGAGGCAGCAGUAGGGAAUCUUCCGCAAUGGGCGAAAGCCUGACGGAGCAACGCCGCGUGAGUGAUGAAGGUCUUCGGAUCGUAAAACUCUGUUAUUAGGGAAGAACAAAUGUGUAAGUAACUAUGCACGUCUUGACGGUACCUAAUCAGAAAGCCACGGCUAACUACGUG